rnacentral:rRNA from 1 species
CAGCAGCCGCGGGAAUACGUAGGUUGCAAGCGUUAAUCGGAAUUACUGGGCGUAAAGCGUGCGCAGGCGGUUCUAUAAGACAGAUGUGAAAUCCCCGGGCUCAACCUGGGAACUGCAUUUGUGACUGUAGAGCUGGAGUGCGGCAGAGGGGGAUGGAAUUCCGCGUGUAGCAGUGAAAUGCGUAGAUAUGCGGAGGAACACCGAUGGCGAGGGCAAUCCCCUGGGCCUGCACUGACGCUCAUGCACGAAAGCGUGGGGAGCAAACAGGAUUAGAUACCCCGGUAGUCCCUGUCUCUUAUAC